GAAAUGGUGGUAUAGUGGUCAGUAUGGCUGCAUUCCCAGCAAAUGACCCGGGUUCGAUUCCCGGCC
rnacentral:tRNA from 1 species